GAUGAAGAACGCAGCGAAAUGCGAUAAGUAAUGUGAAUUGCAGAAUUCAGUGAAUCAUCGAGUCUUUGAACGCACAUUGCGCCCCCUGGUAUUCCGGGGGGCAUGCCUGUCCGAGCGUCAUUGCUGCCCUCAAGCACGGCUUGGUGUUGGGGCCUGCUGCACUGGCAGCCCUUAAAAUCAGUGGCGGCGCCAUCUGGCUCUAAGCGUAGUAAUUCUUCUCGCUAUGGAGUCCUGGUGGAUGCUUGCCAUCAACCCCCAAUUUUUCUAUGGUUGACCUCGGAUCAGGUAGGGAUACCCGCUGAACUUAAGCAUAUCAAUAAGCGGAGGA
rnacentral:misc_RNA from 1 species